rnacentral:tRNA from 1 species
GUUGGAAUGGCAGAGCUAGGCCCAAUGCAAAAGAUCUAAGCUCUUUAUACCGGGGUUCAACUCCCCUUUCCAACC